rnacentral:rRNA from 1 species
UACGUAGGUGGCAAGCGUUAUCCGGAAUUAUUGGGCGUAAAGCGCGCGCAGGCGGUUUCUUAAGUCUGAUGUGAAAGCCCACGGCUCAACCGUGGAGGGUCAUUGGAAACUGGGAAACUUGAGUGCAGAAGAGAAGAGUGGAAUUCCACGUGUAGCGGUGAAAUGCGUAGAGAUGUGGAGGAACACCAGUGGCGAAGGCGACUCUUUGGUCUGUAACUGACGCUGAGGCGCGAAAGCGUGGGGAGCAAACGGG